UACCCAAUCCUGACACAGGGAGGUAGUGACAAGAAAUAACAAUACGGGGCUUAAUGUCUUGUAAUUGGAAUGAUGGGAAUUUAAACCUCUUCCAGAGUAUCAAUUGGAGGGCAAGUCUGGUGCCAGCAGCCGCGGUAAUUCCAGCUCCAAUAGCGUAUAUUAAAAUUGUUGCAGUUAAAAAGCUCGUAGUUGAAUUUCUGCUGCUUUACGUAUCUCUUGUUGAGGUCGUUAUUGUGGCUUAUUUCGGAUUGAUUUUUUCUUUCCGGAUGAUUACUUUGAGAAAAUUAGAGUGCUCAAAGCAGGCUUUUGCCUUGAAUAGUUUAGCAUGGAAUAAUAAAGUAGGACUUUGGUUCUAUUUUGUUGGUUUUAGGUACCAAAGUAAUGGUUAAUAGGAACAGUUGGGGGCAUUCGUAUUUAA
rnacentral:rRNA from 1 species